AUGGCAAUGGCGACGUCGUCGGCGUACCCUCCGCCUCCUCCGUUCUACCGGCUGUACAAGGACUUCGAGCAGGACCCCUCGUCUGCGCCGGAGCCUCCACCGCCGAUCGAGGGGUCGUACCAGCUCUUCGGCGCCACCUACACAACAGAUGUGGUGCUGCCAAGUCUGGAGGAUCAAGGUGUUCGCCAGCUUUAUCCCAAGGGCCCAGAUAUCGACUUCAAGAAGGAGCUAAGGACACUCAACAGAGAGCUUCAACUCCAUAUCUUGGAGCUAGCGGAUAUUUUAGUGGAGAGGCCAUCUCAGUAUGCCCGCAGGGUUGAAGACAUUUCACUUAUUUUCAAGAACUUGCACCAUCUUCUUAAUUCCCUACGACCACACCAGGCAAGAGCGACAUUGAUUCACCUCCUUGAGAGCCAAAUACAGCGCCGUAAGCAAGCAAUUGAGGAUAUAAAACAGAGGAGAGAGGAGGCACAAAGGCUGCUUGGGGAAUCACUGGUUAUUAUUGAGGGAAGCCAGCAGCAGGUUAUGACUCCAAUGUGA
rnacentral:rRNA from 1 species